UACGUAGGGGGCUAGCGUUGUCCGGAUUUAUUGGGCGUAAAGAGCGUGUAGGCGGCCAGGUAGGUCUGCUGUGAAAACUCGAGGCUCAACCUCGAGACGUCGGCGGAAACCAUCUGGCUAGAGUCCGGAGGAGGAGAGUGGAAUUCCUGGUGUAGCGGUGAAAUGCGCAGAUAUCAGGAAGAACACCUAUGGCGAAGGCAGCACUCUGGGACGGUACUGACGCUGAGACGCGAAAGCGUGGGGAGCGAACAGG
rnacentral:rRNA from 1 species